rnacentral:snRNA from 1 species
CUGAUGUUGAACCAUUGA